rnacentral:rRNA from 1 species
AUUGAACGCUGGCGGCAGGCCUAACACAUGCAAGUCGAGCGAGCGGCGGACGGGUGAGUAAUGUAUGGGGACUCCCCGAUAGAGGGGGAUAACUCCUGGAAACGGUAGCUAAUAACGCAUACUAUCGGAUAACCCAUAUGGGAGUAGCUAGUAGGUGGGGUAAUGGAUCACCUAGGCGACGAUCCCUAGCUGGUCUGAGAGGAUGAUCAGCCAAACUGGGACUGAGACACGGACCAGACUCCUACGGAGUGAGCAGUGGGGAAGAGUGCACAAUGGGCGCAAGCCUGAUGCAGCCAUGCCGCGGGUAUGAAGAAGGCCCUAGGGUUGUAAAGUACUUUCAGUCGGGAGGCGUUACCGACAGAAGAAGCACCGGCUAACUCCGUGCCAGCAGCCGCGGUAAUAC